rnacentral:rRNA from 1 species
GACGAACGCUGGCGGCGUGCCUAAUACAUGCAAGUAGGACGCAGUUGCGAACGGGUGAGUAACGCGUAGGUAACUGCCUAUUAGAGGGGGAUAACUAUUGGAAACGAUAGCUAAUAACGCAUACUAGUAGAUGGACCUGCGUUGUAUUAGGUAGUAGGUAGGGUAAUGGCCUACCUAGGCGACGAUACAUAGCCGAACUGCGAGGGUGAUCGGCCACACUGGGCCUGAGUAACGGGCCAGAAUCCAGCGGGAAGCAGCAAGGGGGAAUCAUUGGCAAUGGGGCGAAGCAUGACCGAGCAACGGAGCGGGCGUGAAGCAGGGUUUUGGAACGUGAAGCUCUGUUGUUCAGGAAGCGGUACGUAACCAGAAAGGGACGGCUAACUACGUGCCAGCAGCCGCGGUAAUUC